AGUGAACGCUGGCGGCGUGCCUAAUACAUGCAAGUCGAACGGAGUGGCGAACGGGUGAGUACUAUGUAGUUAAUCUGCCCCUUGCUGGAGGACAACAGUGAGAAACGAUUGCUAAUACUUCAUAGCAAGGGAUGUGACUGUAUCGUAUCAGCUAGUCGGUGGGGUAAUGGCCUACCGAGGCUAUGACGCGUAACUGGUCUGAGAGGAUGAUCAGACUGAUUUGAACUGAGGCACGGUACCAUCUCCUGCGGGAGGAGGCAGUAGGAGAGAUUGCGCAGUGGAGGAAGGCCUGACGCAGGUACGGCGGGUGAAGAAUGACACUUUUCGGAGCAUGAACUCCUUUUGUUAGGGAGGCGGUACCUAACGAAUAAGCACCGGCUAACUCCGUGCCAGCAGCCGCGGUAAUAC
rnacentral:rRNA from 1 species